UAUAUAUAUAUGUUGAAACGAAUUGAUAUCAGAAAUUUACCUUGAUUCAAAAUUUCUAAGAAUUACUUGUAACGAGUUGCUUCACAGAAUAAUCUUCAGAUAUGAUUGGAAAAUGCAGAGCUGGCUCUCUGCUCCUCCUGUUCGACAGAUAGCCACAUCUUGUCUCACACCGCCAGCCACAUCCCUGAUACACCAUGGGGAAGCUGAAGGUUGGAGUCAACGGAUUUGGUAGUGUUAGGUGCCUGGUCACCAGGGCUGCUUUUAAUUCUGGUAAAGUGGAUAUUGUCACGAUCAAUGAUCCCUUCAUUGACCUCAACUACAUGGUCUACAUGUUCCAGUAUGAUUCCACCCAUGGCAAAUUCCAUGGCACUGUCAAGGCUGAGAACGGGAAGCUUGUCAUCAAUGGAAAUCCCAUCACCAUCUUCCAGGAGCGAGAUCCCUCCAGAAUCAAGUGGGGCAUUGCUAGCGCUGAGUACAUGGUGGAGUCCACUGACAUCUUCAACACCAUGGAGAAGGCUGGGGCUCACUUGCAGGGGGGGAUCCAAAAGUGUCAUCAUAUCUGCCCCCUCUGCUGAUGCUCCCAUGUUCGUGAUGGGUGUGAACCAUGAGAAGUAUGACAACAGCCUUAAGAUCAUCAGCAAUGCCUCCUGCACCACCAACUGCUUAGCACCCCUGUCCAAGGUCAUCCAUAACAACUUCGGUAUUGUGGAAGGACUUAUGACCACUGUCCACGCCAUCACUGCCACCCAGAAAACCAUGGAUGGCCCCUCUGGGAAACUCCACUCUGUGGAGUGAUGGCCAUGGGGCUCUUCAGAACAUCAUCCCUGCCUCUGCUGGUGCUGCCAAGGCCAUGGGCAAGGUCAUCUCUGAGCAGAAAGGGAAGCUCACUGGCAUAGCCUUCUGUGUCCCCACUGCCAACAUGUUCGUGGCAGACCUGACCUGCUGUCUGGAAAAACUUGCCAAAUAUGAUGACAUCAAGAAGGUGGUGAAGUAGGCAUCAGAGGGCCCCCUCCAAGGCAUCCUGGGCUACACUGAGCACCAGGUGGUGUCAUCUGACUUCAGCAGUGACACCCAUUCUUUUACCUUUGAUGCUGGGGCUGUCAUUGCCCUCAAUGACCACUUUGUCAAGCUCAUUUCCUGGUAUGACAAUGAAUUUGGUUACAGCCACAGGGUGGUGGACCUCAUGUCCCACAUGGCCUUCAAGGAGUAAGACCCCUGGACCUCCUGCCCCAGUGAGAGCAUGAGAGGAAGAGAGGCCCUCGCUGCUGGGGAGUCCCUGCCACACUGAGUCCCCCACCACACUGAAUUGCCCCUCCUCACACUUUCUAUGCAGACCCCUUGAAGAGGAAGGGGCCUAGGGAGCCCCAUAUUGUCGUGUACCAUCAAUAAAGUCCCCUGUGAUCGUCUAAAAAAAAAAGAAAAGAAAAUGCAGGGCUGUCAUGCUCUACACUCAUGUUUGCAGUUCUAUGUAAAUGAUACCCUCCAGGGUGUGCUAUAUAUGGUGAUUCUGGGUACAUGGUAUAAAUAUAUCACCUCUUAGCCUAUUAGGGGCUCUGAGAAGCUCUAUGGUAACAGUUUUGUUUAUUUGAUUACACAAUUUAAAAUAUAUAUAAUAUUACAAUGGUUUCAAUAUGGUUUGUUUGGCCCUGCCAUGUCUCAUGCUAAAAUUUGAUCCCCGGUGUUGGAAGUGGUGCCUGAUGGGUGGUGUUUGGGUAAUUUGGGUGGAUCCUUCAUGAAUAGCUUGAUACCAUUCUCUUGGAAGUGAGUGAGUUCUUUCUCUUAAUUUUCUUGUUUGCUGAAAAGAGCCUGACAUGUCUUCCCCUCUCUCUCAGUCCCUCCCUCACUAUGUGAGCACAUGUGGCUCCCCCUUGCCUUCCACCAUGAGUGAAAGCAGCCUGAAUGCCUCAUCAGAAGCAGAUGGUGCUUCUUGUACAGCCUGCAGAACCAUGAGCCAAAUAAACCUCUUUUCUUUAUAUAUGUAUAUGUAAAAUUACAUAUAUAUAUGUAAAAUUUUAUGACUCACCAAGCCUCAGGUAUCCUUUUAUAGCAACACAAAUUGACUAAGACAAAUAUCUAUUACUAUUUGAUGAGGCUGGUGCUUUGCAGAACACCAGAAAAAUACACUUUACAAGAUAUCUUGUUCUUGAGCUACAGAAUAUUUUUCAAGAGAACAUACUGCUACAGAAUGUUUUCUUGAAAUAUUCAGUUCAUUAUGGAUUGGGAAGACACUCAGAAAGUUUUCUGAGAAUUUCUAUAAGUUUUUGGUCAAGUAGUAGGGGGUAGCAUUUAUCAAGCACUUAUUAUGUAUAAGUCUUUAUCUUAGGGCUUAACAUCAGUUAUCUUAUUUAAUCUUCAAAAUAAGUCAUGUGAUAGGUGCUAUUACUAUAUUUAUUUUGUAUAUGAUAAAACUGGUACAUAGGGAGUUAAGUGGCAGCAAGACUUGGCACAGCUAGUGAAUGACAUGGUCAACAAUGAACCUGGACAGUUUCACAAUGGCACAUGGGACAUUUCUGUCUAUGAUUCUUACCCUGUCAGUACAAUGAUACUUCAAGAUGAGAUAAUAGACCACAGGGAGGACAAGAGGUAUAUCCUGAAAUCACAUGGCCCUUCCUUUCUUUAUCUGCUGUGCUCAUGGGGUCUGUCAACUUCUGAAAGCUUAAAUAGGAGGCUUUUUUUUGCCCAUUAUUUUCACCCUCCCCAUUUUCUUGCUUUUAUCUUUUAUCGCUGUGCAUUUAAAAUGUUAAUUUUAGACAGAUAUAUCUUUCCUUAUAACCUGACUUCCUUUAGGCCCAAAUGAAUUCCUCUGAGGACCCAAAUCUGUCCUAGUCUGGGUGAUUGGCUUAGAUAAUAAGUCUGGGAAGUUGGGAGGUGACAAGGUACAAAACAAGAAUAGAGCAUUGCAUUUUAACUCAGAAGACUCAUGAAUAUCUUCUAAGAGAUAAAAAAAUGCUUUGCCUCCUUAAAAAUGUAAUUUUUACUAUUUAUAGAGCAUAAGUACUGUACAUGUGAAGCUGAAUGCUCAUCAGUUCCCCUCAGUAAUGGUUUUAAGUAAGAAGAGAAAAAGUUGUUUUUAUUAGUGUCAACGUGAGAGAGGACACAGAUAUUUUAAAAACUUUUAUUGACUUAUAUGUACAACAAGGUGCAUUAAUCUUAUGUGUACAACAUGUAAAUGUUCACAUAUACAUAUGCCUAUGUAACCAUCACUCUGAUCAAGGCAUACAACUUUUUUAACACUCUAAAAGACUCUUCCAUGCUUUUUCUAGUCAAUGACCUUCUUCACCAAUAGAUAACCAUUAUUCCAAUGUCUAUAACCAUAGAUUAGUUUUACCUCUUCUUGAGUUUCGUAUACAUUGAAGUAAUAUGUAUGAACUCUAGUGUCUGACAUCCUUUGCAUAUCAUCAUGUCUGUGAGAUUCAUCCGUGUUCUUUCAUGGAGUGGUUUACUCUUUGUUCUACAUAGUAUUUUAUUAUAUGAACUUACCACAAUUUAUGUAUUUGCCUAUUUUACUAUCAAUGGACAUUGGAUUAUUUCCAUUUUUGGCUGUUAUGAAUGAAACCAAUAUGAACAUUCUUGAACAUUUCUUUUUAAUAGACAUGAGAAGCCUUUAUUUUGGGUAUAUAACUAGGAAUGAAAUUGUUAGAAUGUGAAUGCAUUUUAGCUUAGUACCUAUUGUCCAACAGUUUUCCAAAGUGUAUUUAUCAAUUUACUUUCUCACCAGUAAUCUAUGAGAAUUCCAGUUGUUCCAUGUACUUGUUAGACUUUGGAAUUGUCCGUCUUAAGUUUUAGUCAUUCUGGUGUUCAGUGACAUGGAUAUUUUGUGCACAGGGAGAUUUUAAGACUCAUGCACUCUAGGUUGUUUUAUUCAACAAAUAAUUAUUUAAAGCUUAUUGUUUUUAAUGUAUGCAAAUGCAUUUAGUGCUGGCCCAUAGUAUAAGGUAGCAAAUCAUAUUUUCUUAAGGAGCACAAAAUGUUUGUAUUUAGUAAAUAUUUACUAACACUUGUUAAGUACUUAGCAGCAUACUUAGUGAUGGGAAGGAUGCAAAAAGUAAAAAUGGAAGCCUAGUCCUUGCCCUCAAUGAUAGUACAGUCGGUUUAGGGAGGUGAAAACAGUGUACAUUAAAUUAAAAAUUCAAAAUUACAUUAUUAAAUGUAAGUUCUGGGUCCUAAGUAAUAAACUGUAAAUAGUAUAGGAAGAAGGAAUUGAAAUUAGUGUUCCUCAGGUUACCUUUUAAGAUUCUUUACCUCAAUUUCUCAUGUUGAAUUAGUCACUAUAUGCUGUCAUUUCUGCUUCCUAAAUCUCUGGAAUCUGCAUUUAUUUUAAUUUUUUACCUCAAUUGUAGGUCAACAUGUCUGUGUGUGUAUAGUAUAUUAAACUGCCAUUCCAUCGGCUUCUCUGCUUUUAUUUUGAGUUCUCUUUUAUUCAUUAUUUUAUCAGAAUAUUCUUCCUGAAGGCUAGGUCUUGUCACUUGUAGUCACUCUACUGCUUAAAUUCUUCAGCUUUUUCCCAUUGUUUUGGGGUCAAAAUCAAACUCUUCAGCAUUUCACCUAGGACUUUAUAAUACUCUAGCCCUGGCCUAUAUUUCUAACAUUACACCUUGCCACUUCUCACAAGUGUACAUGCAAUUUUUUUAUAUCCCUUGAAUUACUUUCAUUUUUCUGAAUCCACUAAAAUAUGUCAUGCUUUUGCAUAUGGUGUUUCCCUUUGUAUUUAUUUUCCAUAAAGACCUGGAUUGAGGUUCACUUCAUCUGGGAAACCAUUUUUGAUCCACUAUCUAUGUCUGGUCAAAUGCUUCUUCUCUGUGCUCUGACAGAACCCUAUGUGUUCUGGUCACAGAGUGUUGUAGUUGUUGAUUCACUUAUUCAUUUUCUCUACUGGACUGUGAGCUUAUUAAGUGCAAGAUUGCUUUGAUCCCCAGUGUUAGAAGUGGUGCCUGGAAGUGGUCAUUCAUAAUAGUAAAUAAAUAUUUAGAUGAGCUGGAAUUUAAGCCAUCUGCUGGUAUAUGUAAAGGAUUGUAGUAGAUGAGCAGGAUAGGAUAAAGUAUUUCUAAUAGGUAGAAGAUACAGCAAAACCAUGGCGGUGGGAAUUAACAUUGUGUGUACAGCGAAUAGGAGAGGUAAGUGGGUCAGUGGGUGGGGGAAAGAUGGCCUGUGUUGGAAGUACUGAACUGGAAUGGCUAGUUUAUGUCAAAGAAUAUGGGAGUAAAGUCUGAAAAGGUAGGAUGAGGUCAGAUAAUGGAAGGCCUUGAGAGUCUGAUAGAGUUUUAAGCUUGAUAUGGAUGGCCAGAGGGAGUCAUUAUAGGUUUGGAUAAGGGGGUAAUGCAAUGAAAGCAAGUUUUAAGAAAUAUUUUUGAUGCAUUUAUUAAUGUAUUAUUCCAGCUUUAUUAAAGUAUAAUUUAUAAAUAAAAAUUAUAUAUAAAUUGCAUACAAUGAAUUAUUUAUAUAUAUGUAUAUAUUAGGAAAUGAACAAGGAAUUUUUUUUAAUGGCAGUCUGCAGAAUGAAUUUUAGAGGAAAGGCUAGAGUUAGUGAGAUCACAUAGAAGGCUUUCAUAGUAACCUAGAUGAGAGGAUGAGAACUCAGGCAAUGGUAAUAAGAGUGCAGUUACAGAGGAAGAGAUAGAUACAAGUAACAUCUUAAAGGACAAAUUAAUAUGACUUAGCAAUAAAUGAGACAUAACUUCAACUUGACUUUCCUAAGUUCAGCAAGAAGACAGGAGAUACUGGCUUACCCAGUGUAAUUUAAAGAAUAUCAAAUGGCAACCUUCUCUCUUUUUCAUCUUGCUUGAAGUCAAUGCCACUUACUUCAAAUUCUCAUUAUCACUUACUGUCCACCUGAAUCCAUUUAUAACUAACCUAGAGAACAUAAUGGACUCUCAAUCUUCAUUUCCUGGCAGUUGGCUGCAAACAUUUAUGCUCAUGACUCAUAAUUCCUCAUCAUCACAAUUUUGCAUCAGCCAUGCACUGUUAAAAACUUAAUCAUCAUGUGGCAUUCAUCCAGCUAGAAUCAGAGACUCACAGAAUUUUGGAACCAGACAGGAAUAUACAGUUGAUAUUCAUUUUGGAGAUGAGGAUCCAAGGCCAGAAAUAUUAAGUGACUUAGCUAAUGAAACAUGGCUAGAUACUUCUAGGUCUUCUGAAUUUAAUUCAGUAUACUUUUCAUUAAUAUAUAUUUUCUAAUCCUAAAUUUCUAUGUUCCAACACAUGGAUAACCAUUUCUUAGGUCAAAAACUUAGUAACUUUGCCCUCAUAUUACUAUACUCACUGAACAAGUUCCUUAGCUUUACAUGAUUCCUGCCCUAAGGUGUUACUGUACUCAAUUAAACACCUUCUGACCACAUAUAACUCCUUGUUUCAUCUGCAGGACAUUUAGACCUGUUUAAACACUCUCUUUUCUAAUAUACUAAGCUUUCUCACAUUUUAACCUUCUGAUGUAAUCACUGUGGCUCUUCCUUCCACUUUUCAAUUUUUGUGUUUUUCUUCCUGGAAUGCAAACCUAAUUGAGGGAAAAUGGGAUCAUGGAAUUAUGUGACAUAAUCCUCUACAAUUUCAUGCUGUUUGUUCUUAGUAUCGUCAUAUCUAUCCUUCUCUCUGCUUUGAGUUUAUAUUUUUAUUUUCUCUACUUUUUUAUUAAAGUACAGUAUACAUUUAAAAAUGUAUUUUGACUUUUGAGAAAAUGAAGACCUUCAGGGACAAUCAGACUUCUCCUCUUUUUUCUUGACUUUAAUAUGUAAUUCAUCCUCACUUUUUCUAUUUUUCAAAUAUGGCAGUCCCAAAAUGUAUUUUAUAGAAUACUGGGUCCACCAAAUACUUUUUGGAAAAAGGAUUCCAUGUUGAGUACGUUUGGGAUAUAUUUAUUUUAUAUCCCUCUCUUAAAUUUUAACAAGCUCAAUAGGAAAGUCUCAGAGAAAUCUAGUAGUAAAGACAUGUUUAUAAUUUUAUUUAAUCCAGAGUUUAAAAAACUUACUUGCCUAUUGAACUAUUUUGUUCUAACAUUUACUAAUAUCCUUUAGUUCUAGUGUAUCAUCAAGUCAGUGAAUAUACAUUACGAUUUUAAAGCUCUAUGCUUAUGUGAAUAGUAAGUUUUGCAGGUAAAGGCAAGUUAACUCUUCCAAGGUGGAAGUUGAAUGGUAAGGCAAAUAAAUUCAACUUUUAGGUGUUAAAAUUGUGAUGGUGACACAUAAAUGGAAUUUUACAGGAUUUGAAUUCAGUGAGAUGCUGUUUUGUUUACCUACUGCUGCAUGACAAACCACCCUAAAAUUGAUGGCUUACAAGCAUUUUAUCUGCUCAUCAUUUCACAAUCUGGGUUUGGUUUAUCUGUAUGGCUUUUGGCUGUUACUGUGGGUUCUCGUGUGUGGUUGCAGUUAUCUGGAACUGGCUGGGGGCUGGGGUCAGCUGAAAAGCUGAAUGUCUAGGUAUUCUUUCUCUCUUUUUUUAGUUUACUAAUAUUUUAAUCAAUUAACAAGAUCUCAAGUGAGAAUUUUUGAUUUAUCUAAAUGAACAAACUAUAGAGGCGGUAAAGGAGAGUUUGGCAAUAUGUAUGGGGAGUAUCAAUUUCUUAUGUCAGAUAAAUUUUACUUCCAGUAAUUCAUUCAAAGGAAACAAAUUAUGAGAAGUCUAGGCAAAAUUAUAUAUGGGAGUUAUAUUACAGCAUUGAUUACAGCAGAAAAAUAUUAGAAAUCAUGAUGGUUAAUUAAUAUGUAUGCCUUUAUGAUAGAUUGGUGCCCUGCCAUUGAUAUUACAUGUAGAAGACUUUUUAAAAUUGUUUUACUUAUUUAUUUGCAAAGCAACAGCAAGUUUAUUAAGAAAGUAAAGGUGUAAGAGAAUGGCUACUCCAUAGUCAGAGCACCCUCAAGGGCUGCUGGUUGCCCAUUUUUUUUUUGUUAUUAAUUUUUUUUUCUUUUUUUUUUUAAAAGUAGAGUCGUGCUCUGUUGCCCAGGCUGAAGUUCAGUGGCAUGAUCUUGGCUCACUGCAACCUCUACCUCCCAGGUUUAAGCGAUUCUCCUACCUCAGCCUCCUGAAUAGCUGUACUACAGGCAUUCACCACCAUGCCCAGCUAAUUUUUAAAUUUUUAGUAGAGAUGGGGUUUUGCCAUGUUGGCCAAGCUGGUCUUAAUUCCUAACCUCAGGUGAUGGGCCUUCCAAAGGGCUGGGAUUACAGGUAUGAGCCAUCAUGUCCAGCCUUAAGACUUUUCAAAAAGGUAUCAGAACAUGUGCAUGAUGAAUUGCUAAGUGGAAAAAAAUAUACUAUGACUCUGUGUAUGUAUUUAAACAUUGAAGGGACAAAAUAUUAAAAUAUAUGCAGUGGCAUUCUGAAUGUGUUAAAACUUCAGGUGAGGUUUUUUUCUCUGUGCUUUUUGUGUUUUCUAUGCUUUCUGUAAUAAACAAGUAUUAUUUCAGGAGUUAGAAAAAUGUAUAAUUAAAAAAAUGUCUUGGAUUUAUAAAAUAGAACAAUCAGAGUAAUUCAGCCGGUGUUUUUUAUUUUAGUUGACAUAAUUAACUCAAUUAAAACAAUUAAAACAAUAAAAAAUAUAGCAUUUCCUUAUUUCACUAGUUUUUCUUUCUAUUGCAUACUAUUUUCAGAGAAACUGUCUUGUGGACAUUUGUUAAGCAAUAUUAAUACAAUUUGGCUCUGUGUCCUUACUCAGAUCUGCUUGAAUUGUAAUAUUCCCCAUGUGUCAAAGGCAGGACCAGGUGGAGGUAAUUGAAUCAUGGGGGGUGGUUUCCCCCAUGAUGGUCUGUGAUAAUGGGUGGAGAACUGAUGGUUUCAUAAGUGUUUGGCAUUUCCCCUGCUGGUACUCAUUCACAUUCCUGCCACCCUGGGAAGAGGGCCUUCUGCCAUGAUUGUAGGUUUUCUGAGGCCUCCCCAGCGAUGCAGAACUGUGAGUCAAUUAAACCUCCUUUCUUUAUAAAUUAUCCAGUCUCAGAUAUGUCUUCAUAGUAGUGUGAGAAUGGACUAGUAUAAAUGUCUACACAUUAAGACACAUGGCAGGUAAUGUUCAGCUUUCUAGGUUCACACAUAAAUAACAACAUAAAUAUGUUUUGUUCAGUGAUAAGAAUAAAAGGAAAUGGGCUUAAAUUAUAGUAAAAGAAUUACUUAGAAAAUUUCUUAGACAUUUUUAAAUUUCAAAGAACAUACUAAAAGUGUUACCAAAAAAAAUAAAAAACAACUCUUUAUGGGGUAGAAAAAUGAUCUGCUUUAGAAGGUUUAGGUGUUAAAU